rnacentral:lncRNA from 1 species
UGGGAAUUUGUGGGAAAGUUGCUCCGUUUUGGGAAUUGUCGCUGCCCAUGGGGUGGGAUCAGCUCGGAAUUCCCACUCAAAGGAUUCCAGGAUCCUGUGGGAUGGAGGGAGUUUUUCCAAGGAAUUUGUGGGGAUGUUUCAUGGAUGGGAAUUGGGAAUUGGGAAUUGUCACUGCCUGUGGAAUGGGAUCAGCUCAGAAUUCCCAACUGGAGCAUUCCAGGAUCCUGUGGGAUGGAGGGAGUUUUUCCUGGGAAUUUGUGGGUUGUUUCAUGGAUGGGAAUUGGGAAUUGGGAAUUGGGAAUUGGGAAUUGUCACUGCCCAUGGAAUUCCCACCUGGAACAUUCCAGGAUCCCAUGGAAUGGAGGGAAUUUUUCCUGGGAAUUUUUGGGGUGUUUCAUCCCUGGGGUUGCUCAGGGACGAGUUUUGGGAAUUGUGGAGUGGGAUCAGCUCAGAAUUCCCACCCAGAGCAUUCCAGGUUCCUGUGGGAUGGAGGGAGUUUUUCCAUGGAAGUUGUGGGGAUGUUUCACGGAUGGGAAUUGGGAGUUGUCGCUGCCCAUGGAAGGGGAUCACCUUGGAAUUCUCACCCAAAGAAUUCCGAGAUCUUGUGGAAUCGAGGGAGUUUUUCCAGGGAAUUUGUGGGGAUGUUUCAUGGAUGGGAAUUGGGAAUUGGGAAUCAGGAAUUGUCACUGCCCAUGGGAUGGGAUCAGCUCGGAAUUCCCACCUGGAGAAUUCCAGGAUUCUGUGGGAUGGAGGGAGUGUUUCCAUGGAAGUUGUGGGGUGUUUCAUGGAUGGGAAUUGGGAAUUGGGAAUUGGGAAUUGUCACUGGCUGUGGAAUGGGAUCAGCUCAGAAUUCCCACCUGGAGCAUUCCAGGAUCCUGGAAUGGAGGGAGUUUUUCCUGGGAAUUUGUGGGAAAAUUGCUCAGGGAUGAGUUUUGGGAAUUGUCGCUGCCCAUGGAGUGGGAUCAGCUCAGAAUUCCCACCCGAAGAAUUCUGGGAUCUUGUGGAAUGGAGGGAGUUUUUCCAGGGAAUUUUUUGGGUUGUUUCAUCCAGGGAUGAGUUUUGGGAAUUGUCGCUGCCCAUGGAAUGGGAUCAACUUGGAAUUCCCACCUGGGGCAUUCCAGGAUCCUGUGGAAUGGAGUUUUUCCUGGGAAUUUGUGGGGUGUUUCAUCCAGGGAUGAGUUUUGGGAAUUGUUGCUGCCCAUGGAAUGGAAUCAGCUCGGAAUUCCCACCCAAAGAAUUCCGGGAUCUUGUGGAAUCAAGGGAAUUUUUCCAGGGAAUUUGUGGGGAUGUUUCACGAAUGGGAUGAGUUUUGGGAAUUGUCGCCACCCAUGGAAUUCCCACCCAGAACAUUCCAGGUUCCUAUGGAAUCGAGGGAGAUUUUCCUGGGAAUUUGUGGGAUGUUUCAUGGAUGGGAGGAGCUUUGGGAUUUGUCGCUGCCCAUGGAAUGGGUUCAGCUCGGAAUUCCCACCCGGAGCAUUCCCGGAUCCUGUGGAAUGGAGGGAGAUUUGGGGUUGCUCCCCAGGGAUUGGGAUUGUCCCCGGAUAACUGGGAGAGGCUCUGGAGUGGGAUUUGGAUCCAGAGGGGUUGGAUGAGGGGAACACAGGCAGGGAAAUCCCAAUGGGAAAAGCUCCCGUGGGAUGAGGAGGGAGAGAUC